AAACUUGUCCUAAAGCAGGCCAACAAACUUAACUGUUAACUUUGACGUUGUACGAUACCUUUAUGAUUUCGUGUGAAGACGUUUGGAAUGAGUUUAGACAGACAUGGAUUUAUGUGUUCAAAGAAAGACGCUUCUCUGGGAAACUAAGACAGAGUUCGAGUGAGAGUAAGGGAAGAUGGCCAGUUUUUGGAACACGAUGCAACUGCACACAUUUCCAGUUGGAAAUGUGGUAAGGGGGCAGUUAAAUAAAACGAAGACAAUUCCACACGUGACAAAGAAAAUGCAUUCCCAUUUCUUGUAUGGUUUGUCGAUAAUUGUGCUAAGGGAUGUGAUAAAAAUUGUAUGUUUGUAUAUUGAAAGAAAAAAUGAUCAGAUAAUGAUAUUAAAACUGUUUAGAU
rnacentral:misc_RNA from 1 species